rnacentral:lncRNA from 1 species
CUGGCAUAUGCUUGACUUAGUACAAGCAUUUUCUUAUGUAACCUGAUUUUAUAGCACGCUUAACCUCUCACUUGUGUGUCAGUCGCAUAUAUAAACAACUAUAUGGCAAUGUUUGGCUCACAAAAAUGAGAAAACACAUACCAUAGAGCAAAGUAUAAAACGACCAAGUGUGACGACACCUUGAAUUACAUUGAGAAUUUAGUAAGACAACAAUACGACAGGAAGAGCAGAUAACAGCCGAAGGCCGUCAAUGGGUCUUAACAAAGCUAGAAAACCCCACUCCCGGUGAUAACAGUUUUUUGGUAAGGUUCGUGUUGCUUUAUCUUUAGUUGUAUAUGUUGAUUCGAGCGUCACUGAUGAGUCUUUUGUAGACGAAACGCGCGUCUGGCGUAAAUAUUAAAUUUCAUUCCUGGUAUCUAUGAUGAGUUUAUUUGUGUGUUGUGUACUUUUACUUGCCCCAUCUUUCAUACAUCCUAGAAACACAGUUUUAAGAAUUGAAAUUGUUAGCUUCAAAACAUUUCCAUCCACUAUCAUCUGAUGAAGGUUAUUAUUCACAGUCGAUCUAAACAUGGGAUUAUGGGUAACAUGGGAUUUUGGGUAACAUGGAAUUAUGGGCAUGAAACACGUGACUUCCGGUGGUGGUUGACACAUUUUUUUGGUGCAGGGAAUAUUCUAUGAUUUUUGUGUUGUAUAGUGUGCAAUUGAACAAAAAAAAAACAAUUAUGAAAAACUACAAAACAAGCCAAUAUAUAUACAUUUUUUAUCUGAAAUAGAAGCAGUUGAGACGAAUAUCACACAACUCAAUUUGACUUUCGCGGGGUCCGUGCACUUCCUGUCCGCGAACUUCAAAAAAACUUAAAGUUACUUCGUACUUUGAUUACAAUACCAUAAACAGAAACAUAUAUAUUCUAUAUUAUAUCUCAACAUACAUGUUAAUUCAAAGAAAAUUAACCAAAUUUCUGCAAAGGAGCAGGCUUGCCCCCC